GGGCCGGGGGCCGGGUGCACCUGCCGCAGUCUGGACUAGGAAUCUGAAAAUCCAGCAAGAUGGAAACCUUCGCGGAGGUUGUAAGACCUGGAUCUACUUUGCAGUGUUCUAAGUAGCCUUCAAGCCUCAGUACCUGGCAGACUGGAUUUCGGACUUCGAGCUCCGAAGCAGAAAAAAAGGAGUCUUUUUCACUUGGCUCCCUUGAGUUUCAAGGCUGAGAACAUACUGCUUUGAGGGCCACCAUAUAGGAGUACGCGCUUCUCCACACCCUGGAACCCGGGGGUUAGACUUGGAACGAAUCGUUGCCGCCUCACUGUCUUCUGCCUGUAGAAACCCCAGCCCCCUGCGCCACUGCAGGAACACCGUGCCAGCUUCUUUUGUGGUCCCAAUCGCCGUCAGUUUCUCGAGAUUUCAGACUUUGGGCAUGGAUACCAGCUGGCCGCCUUUCUCAGCGAGGUGCCAUCGGAAACCUGUGGAGAAACUUUUGAACUGUGGUUGGUCAAGCUGCCGAGGCAGAGCUUAGGGCUUUGGUGCCUCCACCCCUGGGGUCAGCGGUGGCGUGGACCGGACAUUGCAGAAACACUUUUCUGCGGUGUUUUGUCGUGAGCCCUUGAAAGCUGCCCACUUUCUAGAACUCUCUUCUGAAGAAGUCCAUGAGCUCUGCUGGCCAAGGGACAAACCAGUGGCCUCCACCCCAGCCCCGUGCCCUGGACAGCUUCCUAACACGGAGGUGAGGCAGAACCCCACCUGUCCAGACGCCGGGUCCUUAGGACUGAGGUCACAACACACACUUUUCUCUGCAAAGGGCUCAGGAGAUGCAUUGCUGCUGUGUCCAGUGAGGGGGCGAUGCAAAGCCGUGAAUAAGGGGCAAACAGAUCAGCACAGAGGGGGUCCCCAGUGACCUCAGAAAAUGACCAAAUUGUGCAUGUCUGUAAUCCCAGCACUUACAAGUGAGUUCCAGGCCAGUUUGGUGCACUGGUCUACAUACUGAGUUCCAGCCAGGGCUACAGAGUAAGACCCUGUCUCAAAAACAUAACAAGUCCCAAAUCUCCAGCUCCUGGCAGAACUUGAGGGGCCUCUCCUUAGGAGCCCCCUUUUAGCACUUUACGUGAGGCCUACGUAAGACCCAAGACUACAAUCUUUGGGAGUGUCUAGGUGACCAUUUCACCUUGACCACAGGGUUCCAGGAUGUAUGGGCCUAGCUCAGCUACACCUGAGAGGGACUUCAACAGAUUGCUUGACUCACAGGAGUGAGAGCCGUGGUGGCAGUGUGGCCAGCCUUGGGUCCCAGGGGGUCACCAGGGAUAAUUAGCUGGUGACCUUGUCCCUGUGAGAUCCUGAAUUCUUCAAACAUGAGGGCUUGCUCAUCUGAUCUGCCCCAGGCAUGCCCAGAGCCCAGCAGCCCUCCAUGAGGCUGUACCCAGGAGUACUUUGAAGAAAGAAAAUAGGUUUAGGGUGGUGAAUGGAUGGGGCUUGGGGAGGAGGGGCAACCCCAGACCUGCUGGAAUGGAGCUCCUAAGAGUCAUCAUAAACCAGGGAACUGGCUCCAGAUACAGCUUGUCAGACGGCCUAGGCCUGCCUUUUCAAUUUAUCGGUGUGGGGUAUGUCACUCAUACAAAAGAAUGGGCUUCGUCCUGACAUUUCCAUGCGUGUAGAACGUGUGUUAUAACCUGGUGAUCCAGAGCUGGUCCCAACCCCGGUAGGCAGAGCCUGCUUCCCAUCAGCCUCCUGGGGCCAGAUUAUCCUCGGGCGGGGAGGGUAGGAGGCAAGGGCACACACCAUACUUUGAAGACACAUUCUGUUUUUACUGUAUUCCUGCCUGGGCAAAAUAGCCCUGGCAGCAUCUUAAAGGCCCCUGAGAGAGAUUUGAGAUGAAAGUCCCUGAAGCUGCUAAUCCCACGGCUUGGGAGGCAGAAGCAGAAGAACUGCAAGUUUGAGGUCAGUCCGGGCAAGACUUAGUUGAUGGGUAUUCUCCACCUACGAAAUGAGCCGGUGGAAGCCAAAUUAAAGCAUUAAAAGGCAGCGUUAUCGGGGGGCAGCUCUUUCAGGUGAAUUCACAGGUCCCAAGGAACAGAGGAGUAGGGGAGUGGGGGCAGGGAAGACACCAUGCAGACAGGGAGACAGAAAAGGGAGGAAGGAAGAAAGUAAGAGUAUGUAAAUGAAGAGAGAGAGGAGAAAGAGAGAGAAAGAAAGAACCAAAAUGUCUGAAUUAUAUAGUGAAGAGCCUCUGGAGGAGAGGAAGGAAAGGAAGCCCAGCCCCUGGGCUGGAAAGUUCAGCAUAAAGGGCCCGGUAUGCCAGCCAUGCCCUGUAACAGAUGGGGACUAAGGGAUGCUGGGAGAAUCUGGGUCUGCUUUGAUAUGUUAAAUAGGCUUGCCCAGGUCUGAAACUCAACACCUGUCUCAAGAAAAGAAAGAAGAAAGGAAGGAAGGAAGGAAGGAAGGAAGGAAGGAAGGAAGGAAGGAAGGAAGGAAGGAAGGAAGGAAGGGAAAGAAAGAAAGAAAGAAAGAAAGAAAGAAAGAAAGAAAGAAAGAAAGAAAGAGAAAGAGAGAAAGAAAGAAAAGAAAGAAAAAGAAAGAAAGAAAGAAAGAGAAAGAGAGAAAGAAAGAAAGAAAAGAAAAGAGAAAAAGAGAGAAAGAAAGAAAGAAAGAAAGAAAGGAAAGAAAGAAAGAAAGAAAGAAAGAAAGAAAGAAAGAAAGAAAGAAAGAAAGAAAGAAAGAAAAGAAAGAGAAAGGCAGCAGAGUUGUUCUUUCAGACAACUGGGCAAACAAUGCCUUGAAAAUUCCUUGAGGGAAGAAAGACCUUUCUGGUUCAAAGUACGGGUCUCUGGGGCUCUUCACCUCUGCAGGGCAUGGCCAAACAGACCACAGUCCUGUGGCCAUUUCUUGUCCAAACCAGAGGAAAAGCAUUUGCCCUGGUGGCCCAGUGGAAGCAUCAUGGUCCAAACACUCUCACCACACAUGAUGUGAUACAUCUCCUCCCAUGGCUCAGGGUCACUGGAAGAUAUGUUUCUUAAAGUUGAAAAACACUCUAGUGUGUGUGUGUAUGUGUGAUUUUGAUAGUUCUUCCUUGCACAGGUACUGAGUUUAUCCUAAUAGAAACCCUAAAUGCAUUUAUCUAUGAAACAUGUACAGAAUAGUCAGUUGUCCAGACAUUAAGUUCAUUGUGAGACACUUCAAAGGUCCAGAGUAACAGGUGAAUGUUAGUUCACCCCGGCCCCAUCACUCUAGGAUGUAUUUCUCUCUCUCUUUAAAGAUGGAAGCUUCGUAUGAAAGGCAAAAGCAGGAGGAUUCGGAGCUGCAAGAUAGCCUCAGCUACAUAGCGAAUAUGGACAAAAUUUCCCAGAAAGAAGUUUUUUCAAACUGAACUUUCUGCAGGGCUGAUAGCUGAUUGGUACACUCAGUGGUUGUGUGGAGGUUGGAAUGUUGCAAGUUCAGAGCCAAAUUAUCUCAGGCCGUCUUUAAUCCCUCCCGAUAGGCCUAGCAGCUUUGUGGCAGAGGUGAGACAGUUGGAAAGUACAGAUAGCCAGUUUUCCUUAGGAACAUAUUCACUCGCUUCUACCAGCCCAAAAGCUGAAAGCAUCAUCAUCAUGUGCGGCCUAGAGCAGACUUUUCUCCACUGUGCUGCAGCCUGCUUCUGGAUGCUUCCACAAAUAAAUUUGAAAAAUAUCUAACCAAGAUUUUUUUAUGGCAUUUAUUAUUGAUUAAUUGAUGGUUUUAUUCUGUUACUAGACAAACUUCAUAAAAUUGCUUCCACAUUGUAACAUGGGAUUUAGGGUAAACUAAAUCCAUGUUCCCAAGUAAUAGUCAUUCAUAUUUGUUUCUAAAAUAAAGAGACAGAGAUAUAGGGGAGAGAGAGAGUGUUACGUUUUUGAUUUGCAUGAGUUUGAGGCCAGCCUGGGGUUGAGACAUGAGGUCCUGUCUCAAAAUAAAAUGAAAAACAAUAAAAACAGGCUGGCAAGAAGGCUUAUAGGGCUCUCACUCUCUCUUAUUCUCUCACUCUUCUCUCUCUCUCAGGGCAACCCCUUCCCCUUUCUCUCUCUCUCUCCACCAUGUCCUGUUUCCCCCUUCCCUCCAUACCCACCUAAUAAACGUCUUACAUAGAAGAAGAAGAAGAAGAAGAAGAAGAAGAAGAAGAAGAAGAAGAAGAAGAAGAAGAAGAAGAAGAAGGCGGCUUAUUGGGCAAAUGUGUUUGCAUGCAAGCCUCAUGACCCGAGUCCCGUCCCCAGAGCCCACGUAAAAGAGGCAGAUACAGUGGCUCACACCUGUAGUCCCAGCACCUCUACGCCAAGAUGAAAGACGAAGACAGGAGCUCUUGGGCCAGCUUAGCUGGAGUCUCCUAAGUACACCACGUGCCAGAAACAACAAGGAAGGGUGCCUGAAAGUACAAGUGGAGAAAGAAUCUUGACGGUCAUCCUCGGACCUUCACACUCUGGCACAUCCACAGCCACAAUCUAACACUCGAGCAUACAUAAGAUGUUAAAAUAGAUUAGGCAUAAAGGAUCAAGGUAGCUAGCUUAGGCCUGUACUAGAGAUGCUGAGGCAGCAGGAUAAUGAUGUUGAGACCAGCCUGAGCUGGUCUGGUUUAGCUUGGGCCAUGUAGUGAGACUUUUUUGGGGGGAGGAGGUUUUCUCUGUGAAGCCUUGGCUGUCCUGGACUUACUUUGUAGACCAGGCUGGCCUUGAACUCACAGAGAUCUGCCUGCCUCUGCCUCUCUGAGUGCUGGGAUUACAGGGGUGCUCCACCGUGCUUGGCUAAGACUGUUUCAAAGAGAGGAAACAUUGAGGGACCAGGGUAAGGGUUUGGCUGCCACCUUCUGGCUGGGAGCAGCCUUGGCAAUACAUGUUUAGACACAGGGACAGUCUUUGUGAGAACCUUGCUUUCUUGCUCUGCCACUGAACAGUGACUAAACACCUUUGGACACCGUGGCCAGGAUGAGGAAAUGCUAUUUGUGAGCUCCUUAAACACGAAGCCAAACACACUGUAGUAUAUUCAUCAGCUUUGACAGUGCCAUAAGGGCUCACUGGGAAAGGCAUUAUUCCGCUCCCAGGGUAGGGUCUGUGGGUUGACAGAAUCCUGGGUGGGGUCAGGCCUCCAGAAAAUGCAGACUUGUCAGCCUCACCCUGUUCCUUGAAGAAGUCACCUGCUCCUUCCCGCAGUGAACAUCUGUGCUGGAUCAAGAGGCUCCUCCCCCAAGGAGAAUGCAGCUCUCCCUGCCACGCCUCAGAUAGCUUGCCAAUAGUGCCUGGAGAGCACUGGCCUCCAGGCCAGCUGCACGCUUUUCCUUCCUUCUCCAUUUAGCCUCCAUUCAACUGAAUAUUUUCCACGUGCAUAAAAGUUACAGGCAUUUUCAAUUAUACUUAUUUGGGUUGGCCAACCUUUCCACCUACUCCUGUCCAUCUCCCUGAUUUCUUUAUUUUUUUACACUUAUUUGCAUUAUUUAGUAUGUGUGUUGUGGAGGUCAGAAGCCAGCUCUCUGGAAACAACUCUCUCUUCCAACAUUCUUUCUACACUGUGGCUUUCAGGUAUCGAAUGCAGAUAGUCAGACUUGGCUGCAGGCACCUCCACUCAGUGAGCCAUCUUGCCUGCCCUUGUUUGGUUUUGCUUUUGAAGGAGGACCUCACCACAUAGCUCAGGCUGGCCUUAAGCUUUGGGGAUUGUCGUGCUCUAGACUAUUGGAGCCUAGGAUUGCAAGCGUGCACCCACAGCCAGCCACGCCCUGUGCAUUAGUGUCUGGUGCAUAGCCUGGGGAACACGUGUGUCAUAAGACCCAGUUCAAGCACAGCGGGCAGCUUGGCCAUUUGUCUUGGCUCGAUAGCAGCGGCCUGGAGUUUUCCUGGCAUAGCCUGGAACUGGCGCUGGGAAGCCAGGGGACUAGCACAGAUGAGCUGAGUUAAUAUGGGUCCCUGCUCCUGAUGUAGAGUCAGCACAAAGCUCCAAGUGCCCCCAGAGGGAUGGCCCGCACUGCAGUGGCGCUACCUUCAGGAGUUCUGAGCACCAGUGUUCGGGGCUGUUUAUUUUUAGAAGCUGUUGACAUUUAUCAACAGCCAGUUCCGCCCCUGCCACUCCUGCCACACCAAAGCCUUACAGCUGUCCCCAAGCAUAGAGAAGAGACAGUGUCUACCCCAGCCUCUCACCCCACUGAACCCUGUCUACAAUGUCGGGGCUGCACUGUCUUUUAUUGGUUUACUUUCCUUUACUUUUUAAACAUAUUUAUUUACUUAUUUGUGUGUGUGUGUGUGUGUGUGUGUGUGUGUGUGUGUGUGUGUAAGAUGGUGUGUAUGUAGGUCUCUGGCCUCCGAGGAGGCCAGAAAAAGGCAUCUCUUGUAGCUAGAAUUAUAGGUGAGGUACUCAGCAUGGGUGCUUGGAUCUGAAUUCCAGUCCUUGUGGUUGAGCAGCAAGUACUCUUUAACCGCGGAGCCUUCUUUUUAGGGCCUACCCUCUUUAAAACGGGCAGGAUACAUACAACAACAUCUGGAGCUUCCUGAGGGUGGGCUCACAUAGCUGUGCCUUCAUCACCACCAUCCCUGUCUUCCCACACUGCAGCUUGGCCUCUUGUCACACUCCGGGCUCCGCUACAGCCAGCUCUGCCACUCACACGGUAGACCCUACUCACUCUCCUUUAUGUUUUUUUCAUCUUUAUCAGGGUGCUCUAAGGGGUAGGGCGCAAGGUGUGAUCACAGCUGUUACUUUUGUCUCGGGAUUCACAGGCUGCAGGCUGGCUGGUCCUUCUCUUCUGAGUUAUUGACCAAGCUCCUGCUGGGGGGUCAGGGUCUGCACAAGAAACCUGCCUCACUUGAGGAGUGUCCCCAAGGGGCUCGGCCUCUCAGAACUCUGAGGGUGCACGGAGAAUACUUUGAUUUUUCUCCUAUGAGGGUCAUUGAAAACACAAGCACUCUUGCAUCUUUUAAAAGUUUUAUUGUAUUUGUUUGUUUGUUUUGAGGGGGCACCCAACAAAAUGUGUGGAGAGGUCCAGGAGCAACUCUCAAGGUUCGGUUCUCUCCUUCUGAGGAAGCAGAAGCUAAAAAACAUCCCUGACAGGCAGACAGAUAGGGAAAGGGUCACAGAGCGAUAAUCAAGAUGGAAAACUUCUAGCUUCUUCCUCGACUUCCUGACCUGAGACAAAGCCUCAGGGGAGGGGCAGGGACCUUUCUGACUGACUGGUCAAAGGUUGGUCAGAUAUGUACAAGGUCUGUCCUAAACGUGUUUACCUAGAGCUGUGGGCCUAUCUGCAACUCUUUCUUUGUUUAAGCAGACCAGCCCAAUAUUGGGAGGGGAACUUUCCCUGUGCUGCCAAAACAGCCCCAAAGCUUGAAAGACCCAGGCUCCGCCCCAUGGGAUUUGGCUAUCAGUCCUCUCUCUGUUUUGCAGGAAGUCUCUCUCUGUGCUUUGCUGUGUAUGUGUGUGCGCGUGUAUGUGUGUGUGUGUGUGUACGUGUGUGCAUGUAUAUGUGCGUGUGUGUGAUAUUUGUGUUUGUGAUAUGAACAUGUGUGUAUUCUUCACUUGUAAUAAAUUUUGUUACCUGUU